GGACUACUGGGGUAUCUAAUCCUGUUUGCUCCCCACACUUUCGCACCUCAGCGUCAGUAUCGAGCCAGUGAGCCGCCUUCGCCACUGGUGUUCCUCCGAAUAUCUACGAAUUUCACCUCUACACUCGGAAUUCCACUCACCUCUCUCGAACUCUAGACCGAUAGUUUUGGAGGCCGUUCCGGGGUUGAGCCCCGGGAUUUCACCCCCAACUUUCCGAUCCGCCUACGUGCGCUUUACGCCCAGUAAUUCCGAACAACGCUAACCCCCUCCGUAUUACCGCGGCUGCUGGCACGGAGUUAGCCGGGGUUUCUUUACCUGCUACCGUCAUUAUCUUCACAGGCGAAAGAGCUUUACGACCCUAAGGCCUUCAUCACUCACGCGGCAUGGCUGGAUCAGGGUU
rnacentral:misc_RNA from 1 species